rnacentral:lncRNA from 10 species
ACAACUGGACUCAUGUUUUUCACCGGAUUCUGACCUCCUACUAGCUGCCAAAUCUUGGAUCACUGCAGAGGACCUAAAAAUAACCACACAUCCAAUGCAGGACACACUGGCAGAACGAAGCCUGUUACAGCUAAGGCCAAAGAAAGGGGCACAGUCACCAUCAAGCUGAAGACCAGCCUCAACUGGACGGGACAGGAAUAUCACUUAGGACUGGUAAACACUGCGGCACCAAAAUGGGUGCAUCUCAACACAAAGGAGGUAUUUUAAAUUCAAUACCAGAAGAAUCAAUUGGAGUCGGGGAGAGUUUACAGGGAAGUUUUUUUUUUUUUUUUUUUCAAAGGGGAGCUUAAUCUAUAAAGAUAGCUGACAUCACACUACAAGAUGCUCAUUAAAUACAAAAUGGUCAAUCAAAUAACAGUUUGAAAGUAACGAGAAGAAAAGGCUUCAUAAAUGAAGGGUGAAAAACUGAAAAUGAUCUCCUCAUCUUGUAUAUUCUAGUUAUUUUUAUACUUAGUUAUACUUAGAACCACCCAGAGUGACUAAUCUAACAGGGCAGGUGAAGACUAGAAAAUGUUGCCAAUUAAUCUACAUUUUCUAAUAAGAAACAUAAAUAUUUGAAAUGUUUUGUGUCACCAGGAAGAAUAUACUACUAGAUACAUGUCUAUUCUUUUUCCUAAGUAAUGCCAUUUCACAUUUCACACAGAGAUAGCCUAACAACAGUGAUUCAUUGGUUGUAUUUGCUCAUGAGAAGAAGCCAGGACAACUUUGGUAUUGUGAAGAUCUAAUCUGUAAGGAUAUUUUACCUACCAAAAAAGAAAGUACAGAUGUCUUCACUUUGCAUGGCUCUUAUAUACACAAAUUUGUUACUGCACUUUAGUUAAAUAACACCAGUCCUCCCACAGAAGUGUGAAUUUUGGUUACCACUGCUACAAAUCACUAUAUAAAUAAAAAUGAGCA